ensembl:lncRNA
CUCAGCGGAGCCGCAGCCGGGGCGGCGAGGGCGGGCCGGGGCCCCCGGAGGCCGGCCUGCCCGCCGCGGUGCCCCGCGCCUGCACCUGAGGCGCCCGGGGACGCCGCCGGGGCGAGGGCAGUGGCCGAUGUCCCGUGUGGGGAUGAGUUUUGGUGUCACCGGCGGCUGUGGUGGAGGUGGCCCUGAGGAAGAACGGGUUUGGACCCAACAGUGGCAAUAAAAUCCAGUAUCAAAUAUGGAUAUGCCUUUCUUUAGAGGUCUACACCUGAUAUCAGACACUGGAGUAGAAAUGCUGACUAUCCUCCAGUUUCUUCAAGAAUGGUUCACAUACAGGAUCAAAAAGGAAAAGAGGGCAAGGGGACACUGGAUUUUAUUUAAACAAAAAGCUUUAAUUAUCCUGAAGAAAAAAAAAAAAUCCUUGAAAGACAGGGGAAAAAAAAAAAAAAAAGAAACAAUGCUUUUUGGUUUGGUAAAGCCAAAAAUCCUCCCAGUAUGGAACACCAACUUUAAAGGGAUAGUGCUGUUACACUGAAGCUCAGCAGCAAAAGCAAGAGGAAAGGAUGGCGUCUAGAGAAGACGCACACACAAGAAGAAGGUAAGUGGAAUACAGUAGUUUUUCUGUGUCUUGUAAUUUACAGCUAGGAAUUCUCAUAUUUUUAGUAGCCUUUUAGAAGCACUGUGGCAACAGAAUCACCCAGAUUUAGACUGUUGGCAUUCAGCUUUUCCCACUAUGUCAAUCACUGUUUUAUAUAAACACCUGUUUAUACCUAAACUGGUACUGAAGAAUAAAAUAAACUGUUUCCAAAGUUAAAAGGACACAGUUCCAAAUCUAAGGACAAAUUCUGCUGACUUACUGAAGGGCACAAUGCUCAUCACAGAAGAUCUGCAAGCACCAGUCCUUAAGGCUACAAGAAGAUACAUUCCCCAUACAGUAGCUGUUAAGAAAACUAUGGCUCAAGUAGCAAGAGGUUUUUCCUCAUUCAAGCUGCCUUUCCUAGCCCAUUCUUUACAGAAAAAAAAAAAAAAAAAAAAAAAAAAAACACAGAAAAAAUGCAAAUUAACUACACACUCAUUACUUUAGUAUUUAAGAUCACAGAACAAUCUUACAUUUACAGGACAAUCUUAAAGAGGAAUAAGCAAUCUGAAAACUGGCCAAUGUAAAAAAAAAAAUAAAUACAGAUCCUUAGAAAAAAAGCAAAAAGCCCUUAAACAUUACGUAAGUAUAUUAUAGAAGCUGUGGGUCAGAAAGGGAAAUGCUAUCCAGUGGUUGGAAGGUGCAUUGCAAAAACACUUUCACAUUGAUUGCAUUCAUUUGCAUAACAACAAAUUUAGAAAAGGUAAUUGAUAACAGUAUGUCUGAGAAACAUAAUUUCACUAGAUACAUUUUACAGAGAGAUAGACAUGAUUUACUACAUAUUUAACCUUCUACUCAAGCAGAGUGGGAAAAUUACGUUAGAAAAACGGCCAAGUACAUCAAAAAAGUUAUCCCAUUAGCCCAAAUAGCCAAAUCUUCAAACUGCUUUUUUGUAAUGGAUCUUCUGAUAAUGGACUAAAAACAUAAUUCUAAAUUUCUAUUCAGUAAUUCAGACAUCCCACUCAAAUAGAGAAAAGUAGCAUCUUUGAUUUAUUUUUAAAUGGCAAAAUAAAUCCAGAAGCCUAAAAAAACCCCAUUUGUUCCCACCCUGCUUGCAUUACAAAGCCAUCAGUCAAAGCCACUAUACUGACUUUCUAGGUUACAUCUGUCAGUCACAAUACUGUUCAGAGAACAUAAUGUCCAAAAGCCACCGAAAACAUCCAAACCUUGUAGCUUGUUUGAUGAGUCUAAACUAUUUGAAUGACAAGAUCAGAGUUCAAGAGUGCAGGUAAAAACAGGAUUCUAUGCUGGCAUCAAACGGUAUCCAAAUUUUGUAUCCAAACUAAUAAUCAGUGGAAAAAACAUUUGCUUGUACAGUAGCCAAUACAUUCUUUGGAGCAGUCAAGUAUUUUUCCUAGUGCUUAAAGAUGCACUACUAUAUGAAUACUAAGCCUUAUGGGAGUCAGAGUUACCUUCACAGAAAUGCAGCAGAAGAAACCUUAAGCUAAAAGGACAUUGUCAGGUACGAAAUGGAUCAUACUGAAAUAAAAAUCACCUGCUACUCAUACAAAGCAUUUUUUAUAAAAAGCAUGAUUCUCCCUUCACUCACUCUUAGACUUUACUUUGAGCAUUUGAACAUUGCAAAGUAAUGCUUAUGUCCUGAACAGCAGCAGUUCCUUUUAACUUUUUUAAAAAGCCAUUAAACUAUUUCUGUAGUAUUUUGCAAAUACUGCUCCUUAAGAUAUCUGACAAUACCCCUUUGAAUAUAAGAGAAGUAUGAACAAGCUGCAUCUAGCUCUGAUUUUAAAAGUCAACAUUUACACAGGAUAACCUUUAAAAUCCCCAAUAUUUAUCACUGCCAAAAGUGAAAAUAUUUUUAACAUCUAAAAUCUUAAUCAUUCUGUUUAACGCUAGAUAUGUCAAAAGCAUUAAAUCAUGAUGUUUAACAUCAUAAAUACUGUAUAUCACAACUUGCUUCCAUGAUUUAAUAAGGUCUCAUUUGCAACAAUGUCAAAAUCCCCUGAAAACAAAACAGCUAAACCUCUGGUUUUGACACUUCCAUACCUUAAGAUGGUGUAUAUAUUCAGUAAGCAGAACCUAUUAUUCUCCAUCUUCUGAAAUAAUGAUAUGGAGCUAAGGUGUUGACAGACUCAGAUGUUUUUACCACUAGGCUGUCAAACCCUGGAGUAGGACAAGAUGCCAUGGUCCUGAGCCAAGAAUGUCCAAAAUGCAGCUUCCCUUUGUUACUUCCAUUGGUGGAGUAGCAUUCUUCAUGAACUUGGGGUCUAAUUUUCCUAAGCUGGGCACUGCUGAGGAUACCAGGCAAGAUACUACCGUUUCUUAAAAGUAUGGAAGAAACACUACUGUGAGUCUCUCCUGGGGACGUGCAGAUGAACACGCUUCUUAAACUUUUUUUUUUUAAGUUAUCCUGGUUAUUUAUGCAAUUACAGAUUUACCAUAUACUCAAGGAGUCUCAUCCCAUUUUAGCUAAAAAUUUCUUUUCUGCUGCAGGUUUGUACAUAAGACUUUAAACUCUGUAUGGGGAAAAAUACUGUAUUCCAAUAUAGUGUUUCAACAAAGAGGGAAAAAUAAAGAAAUCUAUUAAAAAUUCUGGCAGUUUUGUUCAGUAAAGGUUUUUUUUUUUGAAUUUUUUUUAUAAAAAGGUACCAAGGAAUAAGCUUCAAAGAAAUCAGAUGAUGCAUAUAAAAAUAGUUUUCAGUGGCUCUGGAGGGAAAAAAACAGCAAAAAUAAAAGGAAAUAAAUGAAAAAAAAAAUAGCAAGUA